rnacentral:rRNA from 1 species
UACAGAGGUCCCAAGCGUUGUUCGGAUUCACUGGGCGUAAAGGGUGCGUAGGUGGUCGGGUAAGUCUGAAGUGAAAUCUCCGAGCUCAACUCGGAAACUGCCUUGGAUACUAUCCGGCUUGAGGGUUGGAGGGGGGACUGGAAUUCUCGGUGUAGCAGUGAAAUGCGUAGACAUCGAGAGGAACACCAGUGGCGAAGGCGAGUCCCUGGACAACUCCUGACGCUGAGGCACGAAAGCUAGGGGAGCAAACAGG